rnacentral:rRNA from 1 species
UACGAAGGGGGCUAGCGUUGCUCGGAAUCACUGGGCGUAAAGGGUGCGUAGGCGGGUCUUUAAGUCAGAGGUGAAAUCCUGGAGCUCAACUCCAGAACUGCCUUUGAUACUGAAGAUCUUGAGUUCGGGAGAGGUGAGUGGAACUGCGAGUGUAGAGGUGAAAUUCGUAGAUAUUCGCAAGAACACCAGUGGCGAAGGCGGCUCAUUGGCCCGAUACUGACGCUGAGGCACGAAAGCGUGGGGAGCAAACAGG